GCCUCAUUGGCUCAAUGGCAGAGCGUCUGUCUAGUAAACAGAAGGUCGCUGGUUCGAUUCCAGCAUGAGGCA
rnacentral:tRNA from 1 species